CCUACGGGAGGCAGCAGUGAGGAAUUUUCUGCAAUGGGCGAAAGCCUGACAGAGCAAUAUCGCGUGAGGGACGAAGGUCUAUUGAUUGUAAACCUCUUUUCUUAAGGAAGAAUAACUGACAGUACUUAAGGAAUAAGUAUCGGCUAACUCUGUGCCAGCAGCCGCGGUAAU
rnacentral:rRNA from 1 species